CGUCACUUCCGCCGGGGGCCCCGCCCCGCCAAUUUACCGGCGUCGCCCAUAUCUUCCGAGGGGUACGGGGGCGCGACAAGUUGCUGCGAGCGUCUCAAAGUUCAAAAGGCCUCAGUAUUCCAUCCCUUUCUUAGCAUGGGAACGAGCUCCAGCGGACGAACUCCAGCGCCUCUUCUCCUUCGCCGGCGUUUUCUGGCUUGGAGACCUCGUUUGCUCUGGAUCUGGCAUCGGGCUCAUCAUCAUCUCACUUCUGGUUCUCGAGACUUCAGCCAGAGGCCUGCUGUAUUGCCUGCCACUAUUGGAUUCGUCAGCCUCUGAAGCUAUGUGAGUCAGGAGAAGCCUCCAGCCUGACACCUGACUGACAGACAUGGGACUUGCCAGCCUCUACAACCUUGUGAGCCAUUUCCUUGAGAUAAAUCUCUCUCUCUUGUUGUUAGGUGCCGUCUAACCAGUUCUGACUUACAGCGACCCUGUGUACAAUGGAACGAAAUACUGCUCGGUCCUGCAUCAUCCUGAUAGUCUUGGCUAUGUUUGAACCCAUCGUUGCAGCCACUGUCGAUUCAUUUCAUAGAGGGUCUUCCUCUUUUUCAGUGACCAAGCAUCAUGUCCUUCUCCUGAUAAAAUGUCCAAAGUGCGUGCAAUGAAGUCUCAUGCUCGCUUCUAAGGAGCUUUCUGGCUGUUUUCUUAUGAGAUAAAUUUGUUCAUUCUUCUGACAGUCCAUGGUGUAUUCAUUAUUCUUUGUCAACACUGUAAUUCAAAGGCAUCAAUUCUUCUUCCAUCUUCCUCAUUCAUUGUGCAGCUUUUGCGUGCAUAUGAGGUGACUAAAAAUAUGGCUUGAGCCAGGAGCAAUUUAGUCCUCAAAGCAAUGUCUUUGCUUUUCAACUCUUUAAAGAGAUGUUUUGCUGCAGAUUUGCACAGUGAAGUACAGUAUAUCAUUUGAUUUCUUGACUGCUAUUUCCAUGGGUGUUGAUACUACAUCCAAGUAAAAUGAAAUUCUUGGCAACUUCAAUAUUUUCUCUGUUUAUCAUGAUGGUGCUUAUUGGUCCAGUUAUGAGGAUUUUUGUUUUCUUUAUUUUGAGGUGUAAUCCAUACUGAAGGCUAUAGUUUUUGAUCUUCAUCAGUAACUGCUUCAAGUCUUCUUCACUUUCAGCAAGGUUGUGUCAUCUGCAUGUUGCAGGUUAUUAAUGAGUCUUCCUCCAAAUCUGAUGCCGAGUUCUUCUCCAUAUAAUACAGCUUCUUCAAUUAUUUAUUCAGCAUACAGAUUGAAUAAGUAUGUUGAAAGGCUACAACUGUGACAAAUAUCUUUCCUGAUUUCAGACUAUGUAGUAUCCCCUUGUUCUGUUCAAACGACUGCCUCUUGGUCUACGUACAGUUUCUCAUGAGCACAAAUAAGUGUUCCAGAGUUCCCAUUCUUUACGAUGUUACCUGUAAUUUGUCAUGAUCCACACAGUCGAAUGCCUUUGCAUAGUCAAUAAAACAUGGAAAAACAUCUUUCUGGUAUUCUCUGCUUUGAGCCAAGAGCCAUCUGACAUCAGCAGUGAUAUCCCUCACGCCACAUCCUCUCCUGAAUCCGGCCUGAAUUUGUCAGUUCCCUGUCAAUGUACUGGUGAAACCAUUUUUGACCAAUUUUCAGCAAAACUUCACUUGCAUGUAAUAUUAAUGAUAUUGUUUGAUGAUUUCUGCAUUCUGUUGGAUUAACUUUCUUUGGAAUGGGCACAGAUAUGGAUCCCUUCCAGUCUGUUGGAAGGCAGCUGUCUUCCAGAUUUCUUGGCAUUGACUAGUGUGUGCUUCCAGCAUUGCAUUUGUUUGUUGAAAUAUCUCAAAUAGUAUUCCACCAAUUGCCGGAGCCUUGUUUGAUGCUAAUGCCUUCAGCGCAGCUUGGACUUUUUCCAUCAGUACCAUCAGUUCUUAAUCGUAUGCUACCUCCUGAAAUGAUUGAACAUCGAACAAUUCUUUUUGGUACAGUGAUUCUUCCGUCUUCCUUGAUGUUUCCUGCAUCGUUCAAUAUCUUGUCCCUCAAUGUUGCAACUCAAGACUUGAAUUUUUUCUUCAGUUCUUUCAGCUUGAGAAAUGCCAAAUGUGUUCUUCCCUUUUGGUUUUCUAACUCAGGGUCUUUGUACAUUUCAUUAUAAUAUUUUACUUCGUCUUCUUGAGCUGACACUUGAAAUCUUCUGUUCAGCUGUUUUACUUCAUUUCUUCCUUUCACUUUAGCUACUCUACAUUCAAGAGCAAGUUUCAGAGUCUCUUCUGACAUCCAUUUUCAUCUUUGCUUUCUUUCCUAUCUUCUAAAUGAGCUUCUACUUCAUGUAUGAUGUCCUUGGUGUCUUCCCACAACUCAUCUGGUCUUCAGUCAUUAGUGUUCAGUACAUCAAAUCUGUUCUCGAGAUGGUCUCUAAAUUCAGAUGGGAUAUAUUCAAGGUUGUACUUUGGCUCUCGUGGACUUGUUUUAAUUUUCUUCAGCUUCAACUUGAACUUGCAUAUGAGCAAUUGAUGGUCUGUUCCACUGUCUGCCCUGGCCUUGUUCUGACUGAUGAUAUUGAGCUUCCCUCAUUUCUUUCCACAGAUGUAGUCAAUUUGACUCCUGUGUAUUUCAUCCAGUGAGGUCCAUGUGUAUACUCACUCACUGCUUAUGUUGUUCAAACAGGUAUUUGCAAUGAAUAAGUCCUUAGUCUUGCAAAAUUCUAUCAUGCAAUCUCCAGCUUCAUUUUUAUCACCAAAGCCAUAUUUUCCAAUUACCAGUCCUUAUUCUUUGUUUCUAGCUUUCACAUUCCAAUCACCAGUAACUAUUAAUACAUCUUGUUUGCAUAUUUGAUCAAGUUCAGACUGCAAUCUCUCUCUAUGUAUGUGUGUGUAUGUAUGUGUAUAUACAUACGUAAGUGUAUAUAUGUAUGUAUAUAAGCAUCUGUGUUAAUGUAUAUAGCUAGAUAGAUAUAGGUGUAUAUAUACACUUUACUGAUUUUGCUUCUCUGGAGAACCCAGCCUAAGACAUUUGGUACCUGGAGUGGUUCCAGGGAAACAAAAUUGUAAAGAUGAGUUUUCUAAAUUGGUUUUCAAGACCCACUAGUCUUAAAGGUGCUGAUGACACUGCCUGCAGUAGUAAAGAGGGUACUGCUAAUCCAUGGCAUGAUGUGGCAAUAUUAAUACACAAAAUAUCACCACGAAUGGAUCAAGUAUUGGUGAGAAGCAAGGCUCUGGGUGAUCACGUGUUUAAUACUUUUCUACAGUUUUCUCAGAAUCAGAAGUAUAGGGAGCUGGUUGGUUGUUCCUACUUUUGCUAGACAAAGUAGUGAAAGAAAGAGAUUAUUUCAGUGCGUCAGAGUCACAGCUCAAGUACCACAUAAAAGACCUCAAAGUUGACACUUGUGCCAUGAAAGAACGCCAUAUUUCUUGUAGUACCAGAGCUGAUAUUGCCGAAAACCAAACCUGGAGUCUUAUCGUAAGAGCGACAGAUUACAACAUCAGUUGAAUUCCCAACCUCGAAUAGUGUCUGAAGUUAAAGUGAGGGCAUUGAUUGGAAAGAAAUGGAUCCUGGAAAUUGGGAUGGGUACAUAUGGGCAGGUAAUGAGGAAGCUGGGGACACUGAGCCCCUAAUUCCAUUGAAUCACUCCUGCCAACAGAACCAGCCCUCUUAUUCCCAUCUGAACAGAUCACUCCAUCUUUGUCUCCUAAGCCAUGCUCCCCAGUAAAACCAUCUCUUCCACCUUAAUCUAAUGAGAUUAACCCAGCUGUGCCUAAAGAGUCUUUGUCUGAGAUAUUGCUUGGGGUGGUACCUGGAGCAGCACCUGAGGUAGAUGCAUCACUGAAUGUUCCCAGGACCUACCCCCACCGUCUAUUUUUGCUUCUAGACCUGUAACUAGACUUAAGUCCCAGCAAGCCCCAAAAGGUGAAGUACAAAGUCUGACCCAGGAGGAGGUACUCUACACUCCAGAAUAACUGCUUGACUUUUCUAAUAUGUACAAACAGAAACCUGGGCAAUAUGUGUAGGAAUGGCUAUUAAGGGUGUGGGAUAAUGGUGCAAGAAACAUAAAGAUGGACCAGUCUUUUAUUGAUAUGGUCCCACUAAGCACAGAGUCUCCAUUCAGUAUUUCAGCGUGGCCUACACUAAAUCAAGUUCAACUACCAGACCUGUCUUGGUAUACUGCAGAAAAAGGUAUUCAAAGGCUUAGGGAAAUAGGCACGUUAGAGUGGAUUUAUCAGGUUAGACUCACAAACCCGCACGUGGAGUGCCCAGAGGACACACCUUUUACCAUAACAGUAAGGAUCAAAUUUGUAAAGGGAGCGCCAGCGUCCUCGAAGGCUGCUGUGAUUGCUAUUUUAUGUAAGUCAGAUUUGACAGUGGAAACUGCCCUAACUGAAUUAAGACACCCAAAAAAAUGGAAACCCUGAUGGUGUAGUGGUUAAGAGCUAUAGCUGCCAACAAGAAGGUCGGCCAAUUGCAACCACCAGGUACUCCUUGGAAACGCUAUGGGGCAGUUCUACUCUGUCCUAUAGGAUAGCUGUGAGUCAGAAUCGACGAGGGCAACGGGUUGGGUUUGGUUUGUUUUUUUAACUGCAUUGGGGCUGAUUGGACCCCGUGGUAGUAGGAGCCAAGUGGUGGCACUCAGUCAACAAAGACAGGUGGGCAUGGUUACCAUAAUGGACAGCAGAGUCAAAUCAGUAAUCAGAAUAGUCUGACUCAUAUGAACUUAUGGCAUUGGCUACUUAGUAAUGGUGUCCCUAGGAGUGAAAUAGAUGGGAAAUCUACUAAAUAUUCUACUUGAUCUAUACAAGAAGAAUUCUAGGUCAGAUGAACGGCAGUCUAACUUGAAUUGUCAGAAUACAGAGCCACGGCUCCUCAAUUUUCACACUUGAGCCGGUUUACAGACUCAUAACCCUUUGAAUGAAAGGGAGGCUGGGCUCCCUUGAGGAAGGACCCCACUGCACUGCUAGAAAUUUUUGCUGUUAAUCUUUCUCCCAGCCUUCCCCAAACAGACCUACAGCCUUUUACAAGAGUGACUCUUCACUGGGGAAAAGGAAAUAAUAAGACUUUUCGGGGAUUAGUGGACACUGGCUCUGAACUGAGAGUAAUUCCAGGAGACCCAAAACAUCACUGUGGCUCACUAGUGAGAGUGGGGGCAUAUCAAGGUCAGGUUAUUAAUGGAGUCUUAGCUCAGGUCCAUCUCACAGUGGGUCCAGUGAGUCCCUAAACCCAUCCUGUAGUGAUUUCCCAGUUGCAGAAUGCACAGUUUAAAUAGACAUAUUCAGCAACUAGCAGAAUCCCCACGUUAGAUUUCUGGCAUGUGGAGUAAGGGCUAUUAUGGUAGGAAAGGCCAAGUGGAAGCCAUUAAAACUGCCCCUACCUUUGGCAAUAGUAAACCAAAAGCAAUACUACAUUCUGGAGGGAUUGCAGAGAUUACUGCCACCACCAAGGACUUGAAGGAUGCAGGGAUGGUGAUUCCCACCACAUCCCCAUUCAACUCACCUAUUUGGCCUGUGCAGAAAACAGAUGAAUCUUGAAGAAUGACAGUGGAUUAGCAUAACUUAACCAGGUGGUGACUCCAAUUGCAGCUGCUGUUCCCGGGGUGGUUUCGUUGCUUGAACAAAUGAAUCCAUCUCAUACCUGGUAUGCAGCUACUGAUCUGGCCAAUGCCGCUUUCUCAGUUCCAGUUUCAAAGGACCACUAGAAGCAGUUUGCCUUCAGCUGGAAAGGCCGGCAGUACACCAUCACUGUCCUACCUGAUGGGUCUAUCAGCUGUCCAGCACUAUAUCAAAACUUAGUCUGCAGGGACCUUGAUCACCUUUCCUUUCCACCAGAUGUCACACUGGUCCAUUACACUGAUGACAUUAUGCUGGUUGUACCUAUUAAGGAAGAAGUAUCAGUAACCCUAGAUUUAUUGGUAAGACAUUUGCAUGCUAGAAGAUGGGAAACCCAGCAAAAACUCAGGUGCCUUUCACCACAGUGAAAUUUCUAGGGGUCCAGUGGUAUGGGACAUGCCAAGGUGUUCCUUCUAAAGUGAAGGGUAAGUUAUUGCAUCUGGCCCCUCCUAAAACUAAAAAAGGAAGCAUGAUGUCUGGUGGGCCUCUUUGGAUUUUGGAGACAACAUAUCCUUCGUUUGGGUGUGGUAUUACAGCCUAUUUAUCAAGUGACUCAAAAAGCUGCGAGGUUUGAGUGGGACGCAGAACAAGAGAAGGCUCUACAACAGGUUCAGGCUGCCAUACAAGCUGCUUUGCUACUUGGGCCAUAUGAUCUUAAAGUGGAAGUGCCAGAGAGAGAUGCUGUUUCAAGUCUGUGGCAGUCCCCUCUUGGUCAAUCAAGCACAGACCCUUAGGAUGUGAGAGCAAAGCCCUGCUGUCCUCUGCAGAUAGCUACUAUCCUUGUAGAGAAACAGCUUUUGGCUUGUUACUGGGCCUUAGGAGAGACCGAUCACCUAACCAUGAACCAUCAAGUCACCAUGCAGCCUGUGCUGCCCAUCACGAACUGGGUGUUGUCUCACCCACAGAGCCAUAAAGUCGGAUGUGCACAGCAGCACUCCAUCGUUAAGUGGAAGUGGUAUACACGAGAUUGGGCUUAAGCAGGGCCUGAAGGCACAGGUAAGCUGCAUGAGAAAGUGGCCCAAAUGCCAUGGUCUCCACUCCUGUCACAUUACCUGCCCUCUCCUGGUGUACACCUAUGGCCUCAUGAGGGAUUCCUCAUGAUCAGCUGACUGAGGAGAAAACUCGUGCCUGGCUUACAGAUGGUUCUGCACUAUAUGCAGGCACCACUGGAAGGUGGACAGCAGCAGCCCAGCAGCCCCUUUCUGGGACCUCCCUGAAGGAUAGUAGUGAAGGAGAAGCCUCCCAGUGGGCAGAACUUUGAGCAGUGCACCUGUUGUUCACUUUGCUUGGAAGGAGAAAUGGCUAGAUGUGUGGUUGUAUACUGAUUCAUGGGCUGUGGCCAGUGGUUUGGCUGGAUGGUCAGGGACUUGGAAGGAACAUGAUUGGAAAAUUGGUAACAAGGAAAUAUGGGGAAGAGGUAUGUGAAUAGAGUUCUUUAAAUGGGCAAAGAAUUGAAGGUAUUUGUGUUUCAUGCGAAUGCUCACCUGAUAAGAGUCUAAUAUCCAAAAUAUAUAAAAACAACUACUACACCUCAACAACAAAGAGAUGAAAAAAAGAAUUAAAAAAUGAGCAAAGGACUUGUACAGAUUUUUCUCUAAAGAGGAUAUUCAGAUGGUCAAAAAGCACAUGACAAGAUGCUCAACAUCAUUAGCCAUUGUUGUGUGCUGUCAAGUCAAUUCUGACUUAUUAGCUGCAGUGAAAUACCACCUCACCCCCAGUAGAAAGGCAAUGAUAAAAAAAAAAGAGAGAAAAGAGGUGUUGAAGAAGUUGUGGAGAAACUGGAACUCUCAUCCAUCCAUUGCUCGUGGGAAUGCAAAAUGGAAGACAGUUUGGUGGUUCCUUGAGAGGUCGAAUAUGGAACUACCAUAUGACCCAGCAAUCCCAAUCCUAGGUAUAUACUCAGAAGUGAGGCAGGAGCACAAACAGAAACCUCUACACCAGUGUUCACUGCAGCACUUUUCACAAUGGCCAAAAAGUGGAGACAACCUAAGUGUUCAUCAACAGAUGAAUGAAUGGAUAAACAAAAUGUGGUGUAUUACCAACGGAGUAUUACUCAGCCAUAAAGAAAAAUUAAGUACUGAUACGUGCUACAACAUGGGUAAACCUUGAAAACAUCAUUCUGAGCAAAGUAAGUUAGUUACAAAAAGACAGUGGCCUUGCUUAUAUGAAAUAGGCUAUAUAGAAACCACAGCUUAUUAGUGGUUACCGGGGGUGGGGAGAGGGCAAAAGGGGAACCUUUUCUUGGGGGACACAUAGCGGGAUAAUUCAGAAAAAGAUAAUGAGAGUAAUUAACAUCACUGGAUUGUACAAGCAGAAACUACUUGUGGAUUGGCAAACCACACAAAAAAAAUUUUAAGAGUUGUCAUCAAAUAGGGGAAGAAAGCAGUUGGGGAAAAAGUGUAUCCCAAUAUAUAUACAUAUUUAUAUUCUAUUUUUAUAUAGAGUUAACUGGCAUGUCUUAGCACAGAAUAAAUAUUGUAAAAAAAAAAAAACCUAUGGAUCACACAAAACAUUGUCCAAAUAGUGCUGGAAGAUGAGCC